GAUGAACGCUAGCUACAGGCUUAACACAUGCAAGUCGAGGGGUAACGAGAGGGAAGCUUGCUUUCCUUGUCGACGACCGGCGGAUGGGUGAGUAACGCGUAUCCAACCUGCCCUUCAGUAAGGGAUAGCCUUUCGAAAGAAAGAAUAAUACCUUAUGUGAUCGUUUGAUGACAUCAGACGACGAUCAAAGAUUUAUCGCUGAAGGAUGGGGAUGCGUCCCAUUAGGCAGUAGGCGGGGUAACGGCCCACCUAACCUACGAUGGGUAGGGGUUCUGGAAGGAAGGUCCCCCCAAGGGGAAAGGAGACACGGUCCAAACUCCUACGGGAGGAAGAAGGGAGGAAUAUUGGUCAAUGGCCGUAAGGUUGAACCAGCCAAGUAGCGUGCAGGAUGACGGCCCUAUGGGUUGUAAACUGCUUUUAAACGAGGAUAAAGUGAGCCACGUGUGGUUUAUUGCAGGUACCGUUUGAAUAAGGACCGGCUAAUUCCGUGCCAGCCGCCGCCGUAA
rnacentral:rRNA from 1 species